GACAACAUUCAAUUUCACCGUACAAGAUUUGAGGGGAUCCACAUCCGAGACUGUCUAGAAGUAGGAUGAUUAACAAGAAGGCAUAGAAUGAAGUUGUGGAACAACAAUAAAACGCAAUUCAUCAACUGCAUUCUGAGCUCUUCGAAAAUUGACAACUGGAUCAGGGGCAGAAGGCCGGAUUAUGGCUUGGUUACGGGCUUUCCAAAUGUUCCAGCGCAAGUAGCUUACGGUGCACUUUGAAUUUUCUUAAU
rnacentral:misc_RNA from 1 species